rnacentral:lncRNA from 1 species
ACAAAGAAUUUAGAAUAUUAUGUACACUUAGUUGACAGAGCUAAGUGGCAGGGUUUGAGAGACAAUAGACUAUUAGUAGUUAAGUUUUGUGGGAGUCAAAACUUAUAUACAAAUUUUUUUUACCAUUUGACAGGUCAGCAUCCUUAACCCACCCAAUUUUCAAUGUUCAACUGUAUAUACUGAAAAAGAAAGGAAGUGAUUCUCCACAUCUUCACAUUAUACCUAUAUAUAACAAAGGAAUUUCCACAAAGAACUCAGACAGAAAAGUUAAAAGAAAAUACUAUGUAUUACUUUUAAUGCUUAUAUCACACUAAUAUCAAUAAAAAGCUAAAAGCCAAGACUGAAGAUGCAAUGAAAUGGUCAACCCAUUCCAAUGAACUUCUAAGAGAAGUUUAAUAGUAUAUCCAAAACAAAAGGUAAUUUAUCCUUUCCCAUUCAGUUACUUAUUCUGUGCACCCCCACCUUUUUUUUUCAUCUCUUGCUCCCAACAUUAGAGUUGGUCCUCAG